rnacentral:rRNA from 1 species
AUUGAACGCUGGCGGCAUGCCUUACACAUGCAAGUCGAACGGCAGCACGGGUGCUUGCACCUGGUGGCGAGUGGCGAACGGGUGAGUAAUACAUCGGAACAUGUCCUGUAGUGGGGGAUAGCCCGGCGAAAGCCGGAUUAAUACCGCAUACGAUCUACGAAUGAAAGCGGGGGACCUUCGGGCCUCGCGCUAUGGGGUUGGCCGAUGGCUGAUUAGGUAGUUGGUGGGGUAAAGGCCUACCAAGGCGACGAUCAGUAGCUGGUCUGAGAGGACGACCAGCCACACUGGGACUGAGACACGGCCCAGACUCCUACGGGAGGCAGCAGUGGGGAAUUUUGGACAAUGGGCGAAAGCCUGAUCCAGCAAUGCCGCGUGUGUGAAGAAGGCCUUCGGGUUGUAAAGCACUUUUGUCCGGAAAGAAAUCCUUGGCCCUAAUACGGUCGGGGGAUGACGGUACCGGAAGAAUAAGCACCGGCUAACUACGUG